rnacentral:rRNA from 1 species
GGCCAGACUCCUACGGGAGGCAGCAGUGGGGAAUAUUGCACAAUGGGGGAAACCCUGAUGCAGCGACGCCGCGUGAGUGAGGAAGUAUUUCGGUAUGUAAAGCUCUAUCAGCAGGGAAGAAAAUGACGGUACCUGACUAAGAAGCCCCGGCUAACUACGUGCCAGCAGCCGCGGUAAUACGUAGGGGGCAAGCGUUAUCCGGAUUUACUGGGUGUAAAGGGGGCGCAGACGGCGAUGCAAGCCAGGAGUGAAAGCCCGGGGCCCAACCCCGGGACUGCUCUUGGAACUGCGUGGCUGGAGUGCAGGAGGGGCAGGCGGAAUUCCUGGUGUAGCGGUGAAAUGCGUAGAUAUCAGGAGGAACACCGGUGGCGAAGGCGGCCUGCUGGACUGCAACUGACGUUGAGGCCCGAAAGCGUGGGGAGCAAACAGGAUUAGAUACCCCUGUAG